UACAGAGGUCCCAAGCGUUAGGCGGAAUCACUGGGCUUAAAGCGUGUGUAGGCGGAUGCCUAAGUACCUUGUGAAAAUCCCACGGCCUUAACCGUGGAACCUGCUGGGUAUACUGGGUGUCUUGAGCCCAUCUAGGGGCCUGCGGAACAAACGGUGGAGCGGUGAAAUGCGUAGAUAUCUGGAGGAACACCGGUGGCGAAGGCGGCGAGUCCUGGACCGGUAUUGACCGCUGAUG
rnacentral:rRNA from 1 species